rnacentral:rRNA from 1 species
GACGAACCGUGCGAACGUUAUUCGGAAUCACUGGGCUUAAAGCGCGUGUAGGCGGGACGGCACGUCGGUCGCUGAAAUCCCCCGGCUUAACCGGGGAACUGGCGGCGAUACGACCGUCCUGGAGGGGCGUAGGGGGACCUGGAACUUCCGGUGGAGCGGUGAAAUGCGUUGAGAUCGGAAGGAACGCCCGUGGCGAAAGCGAGGUCCUGGACGCCUACUGACGCUGAUGCGCGAAAGCUAGGGGAGCAAACAGG